rnacentral:rRNA from 1 species
UCUGGUGGCGAUAGCGAAGAGGUCACACCCGUUCCCAUGCCGAACACGGCCGUUAAGCUCUUCAGCGCCAAUGGUAGUUCCCCUGCAAGAGUAGGACGUUGCCAGGC